rnacentral:rRNA from 1 species
UACGUAGGUGCGAGCGUUAAUCGGAAUUACUGGGCGUAAAGCGUGCGCAGGCGGUUUUGUAAGCCAGAUGUGAAAUCCCCGGGCUUAACCUGGGAAUGGCAUUUGGGACUGCAAGGCUGGAGUGCGGCAGAGGAGACUGGAAUUCCUGGUGUAGCAGUGAAAUGCGUAGAUAUCAGGAGGAACACCGAUGGCGAAGGCAGGUCUCUGGGCUGACACUGACGCUCAUGCACGAAAGCGUGGGGAGCAAACAGG